CGUAAGCGCACGCUAGCGGUCUGUCAGUCGGAUGUGAAUCCCCGGGCUCCCCUGGGAACUGCAUUCGAUACUGGCAGGCUGGAGUCUUGUAGAGGGGGGUAGAAUUCCAGGUGUAGCGGUGAAAUGCGUAGAUAUCUGGAGGAAUACCGGUGGCGAAGGCGGCUCCCUGGACAAAUACUGACGCUCAGGUGCGAAAGCGUGGGGAGCAAACAGGAUUAGAUACCCUGGUAGUCCACGCUGUAAACGAUGUCUACUUGGAGGUUGUUCCCUUGAGGAGUGGCUUCCGGAGCUAACGCGUUAAAUCGACCGCCUGGGGAGUACGGCCGCAAGGUUAAAACUCAAAGGGAAUUGACGG
rnacentral:rRNA from 1 species